UACGGGGGGGGGGCAAGCGUUGUUCGGAAUUACUGGGCGUAAAGGGCUCGUAGGCGGCCAACUAAGUCAGACGUGAAAUCCCCUCGGCUUAACCGGGGGAACUGCAUCUGAUACUGGAUGGCUUGAGUUCGGGAGAGGGAUGCGGAAUUCCAGGUGUAGCGGUGAAAUGCGUAGAUAUCUGGAGGAACACCGGUGGGCGAAGGCGGCAUCCUGGAC
rnacentral:rRNA from 1 species